rnacentral:rRNA from 1 species
AGCGUAGGCGGAUUUUUAAGUGAGAUGUGAAAUACUCGGGCUUAACCUGAGUGCUGCAUUUCAAACUGGAAGUCUAGAGUGCAGGAGAGGAGAAGGGAAUUCCUAGUGUAGCGGUGAAAUGCGUAGAGAUUAGGAAGAACACCAGUGGCGAAGGCGCUCUCUGGACUGUAACUGACGCUGAGGCUGAAAGCGUGGGGAGCAAACA